CUUAAGUUGCAUUGGAUUGUUCUUUAAGCCUCUGACACCCUUCUGUUUUAAAUCAUUCUUGUUGAGAUGAAACAUGUCAGAAGGAAACGGGGGAAAAACUUGAGUCUGUGAAUAGUCUCCCCUGAGUGGGAUAAACCAGAUCUAUGUGGUACAGAGAGACUAUGAUCCAUUCUUCUUGUUGGUAUUUGAAACAAACCAGAAAUAAGCCCAGGAGGUCAAACCAUCAUAGGCUGGACUCUCCAGUAGAAGGAGCUCCCCCGACCUUCAGUGAGGUGAUCUGGCACUACCAUCCAACGUCCCUGACGCCCAGCCACCACCAUCAGACUGUUUCAUCCCCUAAACCACCGCCGUCCUUAUUCAUGCACGGCCUGCUCCGACAUCCACCUCAGCGGCAAGGAAGUGUGGACAAUAGGAACGCGAGGAAUACAAAGGAGAAAUCCUUCCUGUGUCUUAUUCCGUCUGCUCCUAUCACAUUUUCAUGGUCUUUUACCUGCUCUUUUGUAAAGCAUCUGGAGAUAACACUUCUUAUGAAUUGGAGUUAAACAAAUAAAGACUGAUUGAUUGAGAGAGAGAGUCAGACCUCCAGUCAUCAUAAGGAGGGUCAGGUUUAGUAGAAAGUGGAGAUCUACUUUCAGUUUAAAGUGGCAUACAGAGAAAACAACAAUGAUUGCAAAAAUUAGCAUUUAUUUAGCUAUGAAGGAAACUGCAUCUAUUUCACUGUAACUGCAGCAUGGUAUAUAUAUAUCAUGCUUUACAGUAACAACUGGUACAAACAGAGAGCAGGAUUGUGCAAUAAAUAAAGAAAUAAACAAGAGCCACUUGUGACUCCUGCAUUUUUUUUUUCAUGGCCGUUCUUGUUCAGAACAGACAUCAUGGAUUAGUGGAUUAUAAAAGCUAUCUGGAUGAAGAAGAUAAACGUCACAAUCCUGGUGUAAAACUUAUUUUGGGUCUUUGGCCUUUUAUCCCCUUAUGUCUUGACAACAGGGAGGACAAAGAGCCUUUUGAGGAGUCCAAACAGAGGGUCGAUUCUGUGAUACACAGAGAUGUGCUCUUGUUGUUCCCAGCCUGGCAGAUCUCAUGACCUCAUUACUGACAUCAAGUAAAACAGCUCCAAUGUCUUGAAGAUGUUCAAACUUUCAAUUCCUUAAACUUGCAACAGAAUAAUGACCCACAGAGGCUCCUCCAGUCAAGCUGGAC